rnacentral:rRNA from 1 species
CGGUCCCCCUGUUGGCGCGGCGGGCACGAUGGCGAGCGGCGAACUGCUCCGCCAGGCCGACGUCGGUGACGCAGGCGGUGAUCCUCGCCUCGACACGUUGGAAUCUGGCGGCCGUCGUGCCGCUGGUGAUCAGCCUGUUGACAUGGCCGCCAAGGAAGCCGCUCGGCUGCUGGGACUCGACGAGCUUGAGCGCGUCGUCGAGCGCGGCCUUCAGCCUCUUCAGCGAGGGCUCUCUUAUCAUCACCGUGCGGCUGCUGCCGCUGCUCCUCGUGCUCGCCGUGGAGUCGUCGAGGUGGUGGAUGAUGUCGCCGACGGCGCGCGCGCGGCUGGCGAGGUCAAGGCAGCUCUCACUGUUCUGCCGGUUCGUCUCCACCGCCUUCACUAUCUCCUCCACCACCUUGACGAUCGCGCUUACCACCUCCAUGAUGGAUCUCGAGACUCGAGUCUUGACGUUGCUUGUGAGUUCUAGAAGAAUGAAAAACUCAAAGGAGGGCGACUUGCCUACUGGAUGAAGACUGGAGCCGAUUUUGGCUAGCUUAUAAGGCUUUUGAUAACUUUGCUAAUGAUCAACUUGCGCUAUACAAGGAAAUUAAGGAAAGCUCGUGAGCUCUUUGUUGACGCAAAUCCGGAAACCAUACGCACAAGGAAACUCAAUUCGAGCAUGAACCCUCAGAGCAAUGGCGACGAACACCGCGGCCACGAACCGGCAUGUAUCCUGGCAACCUUUAUUCACUGGGUUUGGCACAACUCAAUGACCGCAUCGUCUACGCUUUAUACACGCAGCGCCCAUGCAUACCUGACCCCCACACACGCAUUACACAACCACCACUACCGGCCACUAACUCAAGGCCGGCUAACCAGCUAACAACCAAUGCAUGCACUAACAGCCCGCUAGCCAACUACUACAUGCACGGCCACCCUUGUAGCUAACCACCUAGCCAAACACACACGCAGGC